AUUGAACGCUGGCGGCAGGCUUAACACAUGCAAGUCGAGCGGGGUGAUGGUGCUUGCACUAUCACUUAGCGGCGGACGGGUGAGUAAUGCUUAGGAAUCUGCCUAUUAGUGGGGGACAACAUCUCGAAAGGGAUGCUAAUACCGCAUACGUCCUACGGGAGAAAGCAGGGGAUCACUUGUGACCUUGCGCUAAUAGAUGAGCCUAAGUCGGAUUAGCUAGUUGGUGGGGUAAAGGCCUACCAAGGCGACGAUCUGUAGCGGGUCUGAGAGGAUGAGCCGCCACACUGGGACUGAGACACGGCCCAGAUUCCUACGGGCGGCAGCAGUGGGGAAUAUUGGACAAUGGGGGGAACCCUGAUCCAGCCAUGCCGCGUGUGUGAAGAAGGCCUUAUGGUUGUAAAGCACUUUAAGCGAGGAGGAGGCUCUUUUGGUUAAUACCCAAGAUGAGUGGACGUUACUCGCAGAAUAAGCACCGGCUAACUCUGUGCCAGCCGCCGCCGUAA
rnacentral:rRNA from 1 species